rnacentral:rRNA from 1 species
AAUAGAUACCCUGGUAGUCCACGCCGUAAACUAUGGAUGCUAGCUGUUGGCCGUAUCGACCCGGUCAGUAGCGAAGCUAACGCGUUAAGCAUCCCGCCUGUGGAGUACGAGCGCAAGCUUAAAACAUAAAGGAAUUGACGGGGACCCGCACAAGCGGUGGAGCGUGUUGUUUAAUUCGAUGAUAAGCGAAGAACCUUACCCAGACUUGACAUCCUUGGAAGGCCUCCGAAAGGAGACUGUGCCUUCGGGAACCAAGUGACAGGUGUUGCAUGGCCGUCGUCAGCUCGUGUCGUGAGAUGUUUGGUUAAGUCCAUCAACGAGCGCAACCCUUAUAGUUAGUUGAAUUUUUCUAGCUAGACUGCCCUGGCAACAGGGAGGAAGGGGGGGAUGGAUGUCAGGUCAGUAUUACCCUUACGUCUGGGGCUACAAACACGCUACAAUGGCCGGUACAAAGGGCAGCCAACCCGCGAGGGGGAGCUAAUCCCAUCAAAGCCGGUCUCAGUUCGGAUUGCAGGCUGAAACUCGCCUGCAUGAAGCCGG